rnacentral:miRNA from 1 species
CAGGAUGCCCAAGUAAGUUUGAAUUUCAGAGAAACCAGAAAUAAGUUUUUUUCAUAUAAGCAUGUUCCAUGCAAUAUUUGGGACAUACAUAUACUAAAAAAUUGUUUGUUGUUUAUCUGAAGUUAAAAUUUA